GCGCACUUAGCUCAGUGGUUAGAGCAUCACCCUUGAAUGUUGAGUUUGCGGGUUCAAUUCCUGAAGUGCACA
rnacentral:tRNA from 1 species